rnacentral:pre_miRNA from 1 species
UUCAUACUCCCUCUGUCCAACAAAAGAUGUCUCAACUUUGACUAAAUUUUAAUGCAUCUAUACACUAAGUCAUGUCUAGAUACAUUCAAUUUUUGACAAACUUGAGACAUCUUUUGUUGGACGGAGGUAGUACUAG